rnacentral:rRNA from 1 species
CCUACGGGAGGCUGCAGUCGAGAAUCAUUCGCAAUGGGCGAAAGCCUGACGAUGCGACGCCGUGUGAGCGAUGAAGGCCUUCGGGUUGUAAAGCUCUUUCGCUUGGGAACAAGAGCGGUGGACUAAUAAUCUGCCAAUUUGAGGGUACCAGGUAAAGAAGCACCGGCUAACUCCGUGCCAGCAGCUGCGGUAAUACGGAGGGUGCAAGCAUUAAUCGGAUUUAUUGGGCGUAAAGGGCGCGUAGGCGGAUUGGUAAGUCAGAUGUGAAAGCCCGGGGCUCAACCCCGGAAUGGCAUUUGAAACUGUCGGUCUCGAGGAUGGACGGCGAAAUCGGAAUUCCACGUGUAGCGGUGAAAUGCGUAGAUAUGUGGAAGAACACCUGUGGCGAAAGCGGAUUUCGAGUUUAUACCUGACGCUGAGGCGCGAAAGCAAGGGGAGCA